UAAGUGAUGGCGACCGGCGCACGGGUGAGUAACACGUAUCCAACCUGCCGAUAACUCGGGGAUAGCCUUUCGAAAGAAAGAUUAAUACCCGAUGGUAUAAUAAAGCCGCAUGGUUUAAUUAUUAAAGAAUUUCGGUUAUCGAUGGGGAUGCGUUCCAUUAGGCAGUUGGUGAGGUAACGGCUCACCAAACCUUCGAUGGAUAGGGGUUCUGAGAGGAAGGUCCCCCACAUUGGUACUGAGACACGGACCAA
rnacentral:rRNA from 1 species